rnacentral:rRNA from 1 species
UACAGAGGGUGCGAGCGUUGUUCGGAAUUAUUGGGCGUAAAGCGCGUGUAGGCGGCGAUUUAAGUCGGGUGUGAAAUCCCUCAGCUUAACUGAGGAAGUGCGCCCGAGACUUGAAAUGGCUUGAGUGCCGAAGAGGGUGGCGGAAUUCCCCAAGUAGAGGUGAAAUUCGUAGAGAUGGGGAGGAACACCGGAGGCGAAGGCGGCCACCUGGGAGGUAACUGACGCUGAGACGCGAAAGCGUGGGUAGCAAACAGG